AACGAACGCUGGCGGCAUGCCUAACACAUGCAAGUCGAACGAGACCUUCGGGUCUAGUGGCGCACGGGUGCGUAACGCGUGGGAACCUGCCCUUAGGUUCGGAAUAACUCCCCGAAAGGGGUGCUAAUACCGGAUAAUGUCUUCGGACCAAAGAUUUAUCGCCUUUGGAUGGGCCCGCGUUGGAUUAGCUAGUUGGUAGGGUAAAAGCCUACCAAGGCGACGAUCCAUAGCUUGUCUGAGAGGAUGAUCAGCCACACUGGGACUGAGACACGGCCCAGACUCCUACGGGAGGCAGCAGUGGGGAAUAUUGGACAAUGGGCGAAGGCCUGAUCCAGCAAUGCCGCGUGAGUGAUGAAGGCCUUAGGGUUGUAAAGCUCUUUUACCCGGGAUGAUAAUGACAGUACCGGGAGAAUAAGCUCCGGCUAACUCCGUG
rnacentral:rRNA from 1 species